AACGAUUUGGUCACCGAAGCCGAAGGGCGAUAUCGAUGAUAAGAGUAACUGUGUCGCGCUUGCUUGCGGUGAAAUGUAACCUCUCAGGUGAUUUAGGGUUUAUUUCGAUCUAUGUUUGUUUUUCUUCUCUUCGAGAUUUUGCCUUUGUCUUCUAGUUUUUCAUUUAGGGUUUUGCGAAUCCGAUUAAUUGGUCGAUGUAACAGUUUCAAACUCCGAUUUCUAUGUUUUCCAACAAAAUCAAUAUGUGUAAUCUGUAGGUGAUGGGAUCAACAGUUUGAAUCUCUUAUUCGCUAGUGUGGUCUCUUCAGGGUUUUAUUAUUAGUUACAUAAACGUGAACAUAAUUAGAGAUUAAUUUUGCAGUUUACAGUAGCAAUGUGCUACUCAUCGAUUUGAUCGAGGUGACUCGAAGGAUCCACAGGCGAUUCGGGAGGAUAUGUGAGAGGUAAUAGAGUUAACAAAUUCUACUUAAAUCUUUGAGAUUAGUUCUUAUCUGAAAUGACUGUGCAAAUUGAACAACAGGGCUCUUGUGUGUGUAGAAAUCAGGAUGAGAGAAUUAAGUAAGCUAAUUUUUUUUGUUUACCAUACUCUUAGAGAAACAACAGUUAGUUGAUGUUGUAUGUGUUAGAUAAAAGUAUACGUUAAAUGAGAUUAGGAAAGGGUUAAUUAGUCACGUAAUACACUCACUUGUGGGGGAAGUAGAAUUUUACAUAUAUAUCAAAUAAAUAAAAAACUUUGUGGGAAAGUGAGGUUGUGAGGUUUAAAUAGUGUAUGGUGUAGGUAAUGGCAGGCCCUUGACGAUGCCACAGAGAUUGGUGUUGAGUGGGAUGUUGUAUUCGUCUCUUAG
rnacentral:lncRNA from 1 species